AUUCAGAUGACGAGUCCCACGUAGGACGAAAUGUGCCUCCUGGAU
rnacentral:hammerhead_ribozyme from 1 species